GGCCAAAUGGCCGAGCGGUCUAAGGCGCUAGUUUCAGGUACUAGUCUUCGGGCGUGGGUUCGAAUCCCACUUUGGUCA